rnacentral:rRNA from 1 species
UACGUAGGGGGCAAGCGUUGUCCGGAUUUAUUGGGCGUAAAGAGCGUGUAGGCGGCCAUGUAGGUCCGUUGUGAAAACUCGAGGCUCAACCUCGAGACGCCGGUGGAAACCAUCAGACUAGAGUCCGGAAGAGGAGAGUGGAAUUCCUGGUGUAGCGGUGAAAUGCGCAGAUAUCAGGAAGAACACCCGUGGCUAAGGCGGCUCUCUAGUACGGUACUGACGCUGAGACGCGAAAGCGUGGGGAGCGAACAGG